CAUUUAAAAAGUGCGUAAUAGCUUACUAGCCGAGUACUUUUGUGCCGAAAAUUAGCGGGACUAAAGUUCAUUACCGAAACUAUGGAUCCUAAUCUUUUAGGAUGGUAGGGGAGCGUUCUAUGAUAGGUUGAAGCCUUACUAAAAAGAGAGGUGGACGAAAUAGAAGUGAGAAUGCCGGUAUAAGUAGCGAUAAUAUAAGUGAGAAUCUUAUUCGCCGAAAGCCUAAGGUUUCCUGGGGAAGGUAAAUCCGCCCAGGGUUAGCCGGUACCUNNNNNNNNNNGUAGACGAUGGAUAACAGGUUAAUAUUCCUGUGCUGCUAUUUAACGUUUGAGCUUGGGAGGACGUGGACACAACGAUUAGCAAACCCAGUAGACAUGGUUUGUUCAAGCUGGAGAUGCCGCUCUAGGAAAAUCCGGAGCAAUAAGGUGUCGAAAGCGAGUACGUUGGCUCUUGGCCUAGAAGUAAUCUGAGUGUCUUCCAAGAAAAGUCUCGUUAGCGAGUUAACAUGGCAACCGUACUAAAACUGACACAGGUAGGCAAGGAGAGAAUCCUAAGGCGCUCGAGAGAACCCUCGUUAAGGAAUUCGGCAAACAUACUCCGUAACUUCGGGAUAAGGAGUGCCUUUUUAACUUCGGUUAAAAAGGUCGCAGUGAAAAAGGUCCGGGCGACUGAUUACUAAAAACACAGGUCUCUGCUAAAAUGUAUAAUUGAUGUAUAGAGACUGACGCGUGCUCGAUGCCAGAAAGUUAAGGGGAUAGGUUAUUUCCUGAGCAAUCAGGAGAGAAGCUUGGAACUGAAGCUCUGGUGAAUGGCGGCUCUAACUAUGAGAGUCCUAAGGUAGCGAAGUU
rnacentral:rRNA from 1 species